UACAGAGGGGGCAAGCGUUAUUCGGAAUUAUUGGGCGUAAAGGGCGCGUAGGCGGCCUGGCAAGUGGAAGGUGAAAUCCCUCGGCUUAACCGAGGAACUGCCUUCCAAACUGCUUGGCUUGAAUCCGGGAGAGGGAUGUGGAAUUCCAGGUGUAGCGGUGAAAUGCGUAGAUAUCUGGAGGAACACCGGUGGCGAAGGCGGCAUCCUGGACCGGUACUGACGCUGAGGUGCGAAAGCGUGGGGAGCAAACAGG
rnacentral:rRNA from 1 species